UUAAGGGUUUUGUCUCAAUUUGUUUGGUCAUAAAUUAGUGAGUAUUUAUAUAAUCAUAAUUAAUUUGGUAUCAAAAUUUCAAAGGAUUCUCCUUCUCCUAUUUCUGUUGUCGCCAAUUUCUGGAAAGAAUUUGAUUUAGAGAAGGAAAAGAGUUUGUUGGAUGAACAAGUAUGUUUGCACUUGGAUAAUCCUGCUGAGUGGUUGUUCUUUUAUCCUUUGGUCUGAAUUUCUUUUGAGAAAUAAGAGGGGUGUCAAAAUUGUUAGAAUUUGGUCUAAAAUUAUAUAGUAAAAAAAAUUCGAAAGAUUGUGCGAUGGUUUUUGUUUGUGCGAUGGGUUUUGUGCUAUGGGAUAUGCUCUAUUCGACAAAAGAGUAGCGUUUGAUGAAGGUUUUAGGAAGUUGGAGGCUCCUCUGAUUGCUUCCAUUUGAUUGAAUUGCUGAAUGAUUCUAAACAUGAGAAUUCUCCUACUCAAUUGGUUGUAACAGAUAUUCUGAAUUUUGCCUUGCUUGGAUAUAAGUCUGAGAACAUAUUUGAGGUGAAGCUGACUGGCCGUGUGUUCAUGUAUGCGUAUGUGUAUUGUCACUCAAUCAAAAAUCAUAAAAUCACUCAAAUUUUAGAUUGUUUAGAGCCUUGUUGGAGGAGCCUCAGGCACUAUGAUGUUGCACCAAUUUAUCUUUGCAUUUCCUUCUUUUUCCAAUAGAUUAUUGAUCUGACUUUAGGAGAAUGGAAUAAGCUUCAGGAAUAAAGUAACAUGUACUUGUAUUUUUUGGGAAGAAAAAAGAGUUUAGGUGGGUUUCCGAUUCCACACAUUGUUCCUUGUGAGGAAAGGGGACUGUAAUAUUGAUGUAGCCUCACUAUUGUACCCUUGAUUGGAAAUACAAUUGAGAGUCUGAAACUCUUGAUAGGAAUGCUUCUUGGUUGACUUAUUGAUAGUACUACGUACUUAGUAUUAAAGAAGUAAGGGCGUCUCUAAUAGUUGAGUAAGAUUUCUUAUAGCUUUGUCACAUUAAUGUUAUGCUACAAUCUUCUGAUCUUCUCCAAUGGUGAGCUAUAAUUGAUACUACAUGUAGCUUGAAUUACCCCAUAUAUCAAUCAAUAUGUUUUUUUUUUCCUUUUAAUUCAGAUUCAAGCAAGGUAAUUUGUUUAGUUCAAUAACAUACUUUUCUUCUGAUCUUCUCCAAUGGUGAGCUAUAAUUGAUACUACAUGUAGCUUGAAUUACCCCAUAUAUCAAUCAAUAUGUUUUUUUUUCUUCUUUAAUUCAGAUUCAAGCAAGGUAGUUUGUUUAGUUCAAUAACAUACUUUUAAGUUUUAACAAUAAAACACUUGGCAACUAUGAUCUUUCAUAUAAUCAUAUUUGUUUAGAAUGGAUGAAAGUUUUGCAACAGUGAUCUUUAUCCCUUGUGGCGGUUUGGCCACAAACCCCUUGUAGUUUUAACUUUUAAGUGUACCAUGUCAUUUAAUUAUUGUAAGUGUUGAAGCAUUAAUCUGAAACACAAAAACAUCUUACUAUCAAUCAGUAUAAGCCAUGCCUUUUAAUGUUUGCAUUACAUGGUGCUUCAUGCUUGAUCUACUUUGUGUCUACAUGAUUUUUGUGGUUAACAACUAUGUCCUGGUUAAUCUAGCAAUCUUGACAUAAAUGUCCGCGUGAUUAUUUGUGUUAUUAUUAUUGGAUAAAUAGGUGUUCUUUACAUAAGAAACGGUUGUUAAUUUGAUCAAGUCAAUUGGGUUGGUUCCAUGAGUCUUAUUCUUUGUUUAUAGUCUUUAUACCUUCUACAUUAUUGAAUGGUCAAACCUGUAUCUGGUGUCAUCUGUUUGAUUGACUUAUGGCAGCUAAUGAGAAUGCUUAGAAGAAAGAAUCAGGAUAAUUUUCGAGAAUCUUCAACAUUAGAAAAUGAUGGACUAUUAUACGCUUUUCAUAGAGGGGGCUUAGUUAACUAUUCUCUGAUGAGCUUGUCACAGCUACUGGACAAGAUUAGAAAUCCUCUUGAGCAGGACUCAUUUGAUAAUGGCUUGAAAAAGGCAUUUACUAAGUGGAAUAUAUAAUAGUAUAUUCUUCCUUUGUUCUCUAUCUCUGAUAGAAUAAAGUCUGGUUUGCUUGAUAUUACUCCUAUUUGGUUUGCAUCCAUGAAACAGACAUAACAUACUGACACUUUUAUAUUACAGUUUACACAAAUACUCGCUUGUUCUUUUUAAAUCGAAGUCAUAAAUUCUUACAUUGUUUUCUGUCUUUGUGGUGUUGUUACUUUGACAGAGGUUACUUACUAUUAUUGGAGUUAAUUUUCCGAAUAGUAGAAAUUUGAUACUUUCAUUACUUUGAUAGUUUGAUAUUUUGAUAGUUGAAUUUGAAAUUUGAAUACUUGUGGAGUUGUUGAUUAAUAAUUAAUUGAUAGAUUGAUACUUUGAUAGUUCAUAGUUUCUAAUUCAUUUGUUUGAUUUUUGUCGUGCGACUUAUGUUUACUCUCUUUUGCUGCUCUCUUACAUGUAUUGCUUUUUUUCUUUUUUUUUUUUUUUUUUUUUUGUGUUUUCAGCUAAAACCCAGUGAUGAAUUAGAAUAUCCAAGCUUGAAGAUUGUUGAUGCAGGUGCAUGAUCUUUUUUGGAAAUCAAGUAGUUGCAUUGUACUUUUGUUGAGAAAACUUUAUGCUAUUAAUGUACUUCUUAUUAUAUCUUAAAUGGUGGUGGUGAUGACGUAAAAACACUUUGUUUAUAUUAGUAUGCAUGCAUCAACUUUUUGUACUAAAACUCUAUUAUGAGAACUUAUGGAUAAAUAGUAUAAAUAUUCCUUUUGUUCAA